rnacentral:lncRNA from 1 species
CAUUUUAUUGAUGAACACCAAGCAAAGUUCACAUUGUCAAAGAGUUUUAAGUUUUAAUAAUUGCAAAAUGUUAUUCUCAAGGAGCUUGCAGAAAUAAAAGUUCUUUUAAAAGAAGUUAUAGAAAUUAAGUUUCAGGCUACUGGGGUGAAGUUGCUAGAAUCGGUGGACGAAGUGGUUACACUGGAUAAUAAACUAAAAGAUAAAACCGAGUAUACUAAUUUGCUUGAUAGUUGAAAAAAGAUUGGUGGUGGAAAGCCAAGAGAACAUGUUUAUUUGAUCAUGUAAAGGUUAUUUUUGAAUCAGUUACAGUCCAAAUUAAAUCAAAAAGGAAAUGGGGAAAAGAUAAGCUUAGAAAAUCUAGUAAAUAUAUGGAGUGUUUUACGAGAUAUCGGCGACGUGGAAGAAAAUGUUGACGGCAAUGCAGAAAUAUAGUUUCUUAUGUAUAUUUUUGUGACAUAAAAAAUAAGUAAUGUUAGUUAAAA